rnacentral:rRNA from 1 species
UUCAGCGGCGGACGGGUGAGUAAUACCUAGGAAUCUGCCUGGUAGUGGGGGACAACGUUUCGAAAGGAACGCUAAUACCGCAUACGUCCUACGGGAGAAAGCAGGGGACCUUCGGGCCUUGCGCUAUCAGAUGAGCCUAGGUCGGAUUAGCUAGUUGGUGAGGUAAUGGCUCACCAAGGCUACGAUCCGUAACUGGUCUGAGAGGAUGAUCAGUCACACUGGAACUGAGACACGGUCCAGACUCCUACGGGAGGCAGCAGUGGGGAAUAUUGGACAAUGGGCGAAAGCCUGAUCCAGCCAUGCCGCGUGUGUGAAGAAGGUCUUCGGAUUGUAAAGCACUUUAAGUUGGGAGGAAGGGCAGUAAGCGAAUACCUUGCUGUUUUGACGUUACCGACAGAAUAAGCACCGGCUAACUCUGUGCCAGCAGCCGCGGUAAUACAGAGGGUGCAAGCGUUAAUCGGAAUUACUGGGCGUAAAGCGCGCGUAGGUGGUUCGUUAA